AUGCAAGUCGAACGAAGCAGCUUCUGCUUGCAAGAAGUGACUAGUGGCGGACGGGUGAGUAACGCGUGGGUAACCUGCCUCAGUACAGGGGGAUAACAGUUGGAAACGACUGCUAAGACCGCAUAACCCGCUAGUGUCGCAUGACACGGACGGAAAAUAUUUAUAGGUAUGAGAUGGGCCCGCGUCUGAUUAGCUAGUUGGUAAGGUAACGGCUUCCAAGGCGACGAUCAGUAGCCGACUUGAGAGAGUGAUCGGCCACAUUGGGACUGAGACACGGCCCAAACUCCUACGGGAGGCAGCAGUGGGGAAUAUUGGACAAUGGGGGGAAACCCUGAUCCAGCGACGCCCGCGUGAGUGAAGAAGUAUUUCGGUAUGUAAAGCUCUAUCAGCAGGGAAGAUAAUGACAGUACCUGACUAAGAAGCCCCGGCUAACUACGUGCCAGCAGCAGC
rnacentral:rRNA from 1 species